UAGUAAUAUUUUAUUUUAUCUUAUCUUCUCUUUCACACAAGCCUUCCUUGUUAGGGUUUUCCCUUUUCUUUAGCUCUUCUCCUUUUCUCUCGUUGUCUUUUCUGGCUUAUGUCCUCAAAAUUUACACUUCGUUUGUUCCAGCUGAACUAGCUACUUCUUCUCAGUUGGAGCUGUAUGCAAUCGUUGGUGCUUUGAAUUUCAACUUCAAAGAAAACGCCAGAAAUUGAACGGGUGGAAGUGGAGAUUGUUGUAAAAGGAUAAAAAAGAGGAGGUGGUGGAUGAUGAUGAUGGUUCGUGAUGAUUGAUGGGCAGUAGAACAGUGAAUAUUGGUAUAGGAAAUGAUAAGAAAGCUGUAACAGCGAUGCCAAGCUACGUUCCUUCAGUACCCACUUCCAAUCCCAGUUUAGAACAUGUGGUUUUGAUGACUUAUUUCAGCAGCACAGAGGCAAACACCAUUCGUUCUUCUCGAAUACCAGACUUAGGAACCCUUGAGCAAUCUCUUGGAUUUCGCAUUGAGGAUGCUGUUGAUCUUACCAGAAAUCCUCUAUUUAAUCAAAUAAAGUCAAGUACCCAGGCGAUAGCUGAUGCUCAAUUUGGUGCUAUAAAUAAGACACUUGCAUCUGCAGACAACAACCUCUCUGCUGCCAUUGUGGGGUCACAAACAUUAACGCUUAAAAAAGAUACCCCACCUAAUCUUGUAUCCAUAUCAGCUGGUCGGGAGAAUUGGGGGGAUUCCAAUAUGGCAGAUGCCAGUCCUAGAACUGAUAUUUCAACAGAUGACACUGAUGAGAAAAAUCAAAGGUUUGAAAGAGGUCAAACAAAUGCUAUUGUGGCCUCUGAUUCUAGCGACAGAUCAAAAGAUAAAACAGAUCAGAAGACAUUGCGUAGGCUUGCGCAAAAUCGUGAGGCUGCAAGAAAGAGCCGGUUAAGGAAAAAGGCAUAUGUGCAGCAGCUUGAGAGUAGCCGACUGAAACUGACUCAACUUGAGCAAGAGCUGCAGAGAGCUCGUCAGCAGGGCAUAUUUAUUUCAAGCUCAGGAGAUCAAUCCCAUUCAAUGAGUGGAAAUGGUGCCCUGGCAUUUGAUGUUGAGUAUGCACGGUGGCUGGAGGAGCACAAUAGGCAGAUAAAUGAGUUAAGGGCUGCAGUCAAUUCACAUGCUGGUGACACCGAACUUCGCACCAUUGUUGACAACGUCACAGCACAUUUUGAUGACAUUUUCAGGUUGAAAGGCAUUGCUGCAAAAGCUGAUGUUUUCCAUAUCUUAUCAGGAAUGUGGAAAACACCUGCAGAGCGGUGUUUUCUGUGGAUUGGUGGCUUCCGCUCAUCUGAGCUUCUUAAGCUUCUUGCGAAUCAAUUGGAGCCUUUAACUGAGCAACAGUUUAUGGGUUUCCACAACUUGCAGCAAUCAUCCCAACAGGCUGAAGAUGCUUUGUCACAAGGGAUGGAAGCAUUGCAACAAUCUUUGGCUGAGACGUUGGCCAAUGGCUCACCUGGUCCCUCCGGAUCAUCUGGGAAUGUGGCAAAUUAUAUGGGUCAAAUGGCGAUGGCCAUGGGAAAGCUAGGGACCCUUGAGGGGUUCGUUCGUCAGGCUGAUAAUCUGCGUCAGCAAACACUGCAACAAAUGCACCGUAUCUUGACAACUAGGCAAUCAGCUCGUGCCCUUCUUGCAAUAAAUGACUAUUUUUCUAGGCUUCGAGCUCUCAGUUCUCUUUGGCUGGCCCGGCCACGCGAGUGAGAAGUAGAUAUAUCCCGCUGUUUGAAGUUACUCUGAAGGUUGACUGUCAUUUGAUCAAAUUUUAAUGGUGUUCUCCUGGAGCAAUGCUAUUGUUUCAUGUGGGUAAAUUGCUCUUCUUCGACUUUGACAUCCUUGAAGGAUGCAACUAUGGGGCAACUUGGUCACUUCGUUGUAUCUAUAGCUUUAGGGACAUGCUGGAAUUAAACCUACAAAUCUUAGUGGACUCAGUUAUAGGAGGCUUUUAACAAGUGUUUAUGGUUCCCCUCUACACCAAGAAAUGGAAAGCAGAAUGAUACUUAUAUGAUUCGAGGCAAAAACUGAAUGCAUUUCUUUGUCUAGUGUAAUGCUAUUUUGUUCAACAGUCUUAACAAUCCGACAUUUCACAAAUGGUGCGAGGUAAAUUGUGAGUAUUCUGUCGGUCUCUGUCAGACGCCUUGGCAUUUCUCAGUUGGUAAUUUAUAUGUUGACUGGUACUCAAUCGAUAUUUAAUUAAGCGGCAAUAUUUGCCCAUACGCAUGCUUUAAACAACUAA